AAGUCGUAACAAGGUUUCCGUAGGUGAACCUGCGGAAGGAUCAUUAAAAAUAUAAAUUAUAUAAAAUAUUAUAUAUAAAUAUUUUUAUUUAUUAUAAUAGAAAAAUAUAAAAAAUUUAUAUAAAUUUAAUUUUAUAUAAAAUUUUUAUAUUUUUCGGUGAGAAUGAUAACUCUCACCAUUAAAAAAUUAAUAGUGUCAUAAAAAAUUAUAAUAUAAAAUUUUUAAGAUUUAGUUUAUGAAUUAUUUUUAUUUUAAUAAAUAAAAUAUAACUUUUAACAAUGGAUCUCUUGGCUCUUA
rnacentral:misc_RNA from 1 species